rnacentral:rRNA from 1 species
CCAAUAGCGUAUAUUAAAGUUGUUGCAGUUAAAAAGCUCGUAGUUGAAUUUCGGAAUCAAUAUGUCGGUCGUGCCUUGGUACGUACUGGUAUCAUUGGUUUCUCCUUUCUGACGAACCAUGAUGUCAUUAAUUUGGUGUUAUGGGAAGUUAGGACUGUUACUUUGAAAAAAUUAGAGUGUUUAAAGCAGGCUUUGGCUUGAAUACAUUAGCAUGGAAUAA